CCUACGGGGGGCAGCAGUGAGGAAUAUUGGUCAAUGGGCGAAAGCCUGAACCAGCCAAGUCGCGUGAGGGAAGACGGUCCUACGGAUUGUAAACCUCUUUUGUCAGGGAGCAAGGAGCGCCACGAGGGGUGCGGCGAGAGUACCUGAAGUAAAAGCAUCGGCUAACUCCGUGCCAGCAGCCGCGGUAAUACGGAGGAUGCGAGCGUUAGCCGGAUUUAUUGGGUUUAAAGGGUGCGCAGGCGGAAGCGGCAAGUCAGCGGUAAAAUUGCGGGGCUCAACCUCGCGGGGCCGUUGAAACUGGUCGUCUAGAGUGGGCGAGAGGUGUGUGGAAUGCGGGGUGUAGCGGUGAAAUGCAUAGAUAUCAGGAAGAACUCC
rnacentral:rRNA from 1 species